GGGCCCGCACAAGCGGUGGAGUAUGUGGUUUAAUUCGAUGCAACGCGAAGAACCUUACCAGGGCUUGACAUCCUGCGAACCUCUGGGAAACCGGAGGGUGCCUUCGGGAACGCAGUGACAGGUGGUGCAUGGCUGUCGUCAGCUCGUGUCGUGAGAUGUUGGGUUAAGUCCCGCAACGAGCGCAACCCACGUCUUUAGUUGCCAGCGAGUCAAGUCGGGAACUCUAGCCAGACUGCCGGUGCAAACCGUGAGGAAGGUGGGGAUGACGUCAAAUCAUCACGGCCCUUACGUCCUGGGCCACACACGUGCUACAAUGCUACGGACAAAGGGCAGCAAGUUCGUGAGGACAAGCAAAUCCCAUAAACCGUGGCUCAGUUCAGAUCGUAGGCUGCAACUCGCCUACGUGAAGGCGGAAUCGCUAGUAAUCGCAGGUU
rnacentral:rRNA from 1 species